rnacentral:tmRNA from 1 species
GGGGGCGAUCGGAUUCGACGGGUAGCUAGUGAGUCGGGGCUGCAAGCCGAGAUCUCCGAAUCUCGUAAAACACGGAAACCCCUAUAACUGCCAACAACGAACUGGCACUCGCGGCUUAACUGUCGCGUCGUCCGCCUGGCUUUUGCCGGUCAAGCUGGGGUCGGGCGUUAUGAGACCGGCCGAAGCGUGCGCCUUUGCUUGGUUAGCGCACGGGGGUAACAGAAUCAAGCCCGCCGAUGUGGACCCCGCGCCCGGGGGCCGCCUCGGCUAAGUAAAGCGGGCGCUAUGCUUGUAGAGGCCACGGACACGGCUGUUCGGACGCGGGUUCAAUUCCCGCCGCCUCCACCA